rnacentral:rRNA from 1 species
GAUGAACGCUGGCGGCGUGCUUAACACAUGCAAGUCGAACGAUGAAGCCGGAGCUUGCUCUGGUGGAUUAGUGGCGAACGGGUGAGUAACACGUGAGUAACCUGCCCUUGACUCUGGGAUAAGCGCUGGAAACGGCGUCUAAUACCGGAUACGAGCUUCCACCGCAUGGUGAGUUGCUGGAAAGAAUUUCGGUCAAGGAUGGACUCGCGGCCUAUCAGCUUGUUGGUGAGGUAACGGCUCACCAAGGCGACGACGGGUAGCCGGCCUGAGAGGGUGACCGGCCAAACUGGGACUGGGACACGGCCCAGACUCCUACGGGAGGCAGCAGUGGGGAAUAUUGCACAAUGGGCGCAAGCCUGAUGCAGCAACGCCGCGUGAGGGACGAAGGCCUUCGGGUCGUAAACCUCUUUUAGCAGGGAAGAAGCGAAAGUGACGGUACCUGCAGAAAAAGCACCGGCUAACUACGUGCCAGCCGCCGCCGUAA